rnacentral:lncRNA from 10 species
GCUGACUUUCAUAGAAGCAGUCACUCAGCUCUGUCUACCCAGACAGCACAGACCUUAGCUUUAGAAUCCACAGAUACUACAGCAAACACAUGCAGCAAGGAGAGAGAACAAUGCCACGACCUCCCUUUUAUUCAUCAGUCAGAGUCAGCAGGGCUGGCAGAGGACAAAUUGUGGAUCAUAGCUGUCUUUUACUUCUUCUCACGAGAUUGCAUGUCCCUAGAUACCAUCCUAAAAGCAUUGAAGAGGAGUCUAUACCUGAUCUGGUGGUCUCUGUAUUGGGG